AGGAAAGGGUGAGCUGGCUCCUGUGGUCCUCAUCGGGUUUGGAGCCCCAUGGAAAAAAGGAAGUAGCCAUCCCAAAACUAUUUGGAAAAACUUGCAAAGGAAGGAAUGCAUCCCCCUUUCUUACCCCAUCUUCAAACAACCUGUUCUGGGACAAAGGUUUUUGCAGCUCCAUGAAUACAUCAGAAGAGGAGGUCUAUCCAGUUUUUGGAUUAUCACAAUACAGGGAUCUUGGCAUGGAUGCACUAAGGGAACAUGUUCUUGAAACACCACUCAUUCCCACCUACCCCAAGUCAAGCUGAAAUCAAAAUGCAUCUUCUGAGGCUGAAGGAAUCAUCUUUCACUAAAGCAUUCUAACUGCAGA